rnacentral:rRNA from 1 species
UUAACUCCAAAAAGAGUAUAUGUGGAAGGUAUAAGUAGUAAAUCGCAUUUAAAAAAUAAAUAGUUAUGACAUCAAAAGAAUUUACAAUUUGGUUAAAAGGUUUUAUUACUGCAUGUAAUGAUUACGCACCCACACCAAAACAAUGGGAUGCAUUAAAAGAUAAAUUAGCAGAAGUAAAUGAUAAUGAACCGGUUAUCAUUAAUACAUCCAGUACUUUACCUAUUCAGCAGCCGCUCCCUUAUGUAGACCCAUAUAAUCCAUAUAGGAUAACUUGUACACCUGAUACAAAUAGUACAUCAACUAUGCGUUGGAGUUAUACAAAUUCUACAAAUGGAAAGCCUAUUCAAACAGAAGAACAUCCUGAAAAACAUCACAACGAAGAUUAAGUAUGAAAAUAAGUUACGCUAUAACUGUUUGUAAUGAGUUGAAAGAACUCACCUCAUUAAUUAACUUUCUCCUCGUGCGUAUAGAUAGCGAGGAUCAGAUUGUAAUUCAAUAUGAUACUGAUUCCGUUACAAAAGAAGUUGUAGAUUAUCUCACUAUAAUUGGGGAUAUACAAAAACAAAUUAAAGUCAUAUCGUUUCCACUUAAUAAAGAUUUUGCAUCUUUUAAAAAUAAUUUAAAAUCACAUUGUGAAGGCGAUUACAUCUUUCAAAUCGAUGCAGACGAAGAGCCAUCUGAAAUUCUUUUAAAACGAUUGAAACGAAUCUUAACUGAAAAUGAGGUUGAUAUUAUUUUUGACCUACGUGAAGGGUUGGGUGAAUCAGCGAGGACCACCUCGUAAGGCUAGAUACUGAAUGGCGACCGAUAGUGAACGAGUACCGUGAGGGAAAGGUGAAAAGAACCCCGGGAGGGGAGUGAAAUAGAAACUGAAACCAGAUAUCUACAAUCGGUGGAAGCGAUGUAUACGUACGCGCAACCACGUACCUUUUGCAUAAUGAGUCAACGAGUUAUCCCUAUAUUGCAAGGUUAAGCUGAGAAAAAGCGAAGCCGUAGCGAAAGCGAGUCUGAAUAGGGCGAAUAGUAAUAUGGGAUAGACCCGAAACCCAGUGAGCUAUCCAUGUCCAGGAUGAAAUCUUAGUAAAAUAAGAUGGAGAUCUUGUAGGUAAAUCCGCAAGGUUGUUAAACUGAAGUGUUAUGGGUAUGCCAGUUUUUAGGAAGAGGCAUAUUAGACUGAACCCACACUGACUAGAAAAGUCUCUAGCGAGCUACACGAGUGAUCGUACCGCAAACUGACACAGGUAGACGGGCAGAAAAUGCUCAGGCGUUGAGAUAACUAUCAUUAAGGAACUCGGCAAAAUUGCUCCGUAACUUCGGGAUAAGGAGUGCCUACAGCGUGUUGAGCGCAGGUAGGUUACAAUAAAGAGGCCCAACCGACUGUUUACCAAAAACACAGGGCUCUGCAAACUCGUAAGAGGAAGUAUAGAGUCUGACGCCUGCCCAGUGCUGGAAGGUUAACGGGAGAGGUUAGCAGCAAUGCGAAGCUUUGAACUGAAGCCCCAGUAAACGGCGGCCGUAACUAUAACGGUCCUAAGGUAGCGAAGUACCUUGUCGGGUAAAUUCCGACGCGCAUGAAUGGCGUAACGAGUUGGGCGCUGUCUUGAUGAUAGACUCAGUGAAUUUGUAGUCCCGGUGAAAAUGCCGGGUACCCGCGACAGGACGGAAAGACCCCGUGCACCUUUACUAUAACUUGACAUUGUUUUUUGAACCUACAUGUGUAGGAUAGGCGGGAGACUGUGAUUCUAAGGCGCUAGCUUUAGAGGAGUCGCCCUUGAAAUACCGCCCUUGUAUGUUUGAAAAACUAACUUUGAAUUCCCGUAAUCCGGGCAAAAGACAGUCCCGCUUGGUAUCGUGACUGGGAAACAGAUCGGAAGAGCACACGUCUGACCUCCAGUCACCUG